AAAUGGGGACGGGGAUAGACAUAUGGAAAA
rnacentral:piRNA from 1 species